rnacentral:rRNA from 1 species
GAUGAACGCUGGCGGCGUGCCUAACACAUGCAAGUCGAACGGAGUCCCGCCUUAGAGACUUUCGGGUCAAAGCGGGGAAGACUGAGUGGCGGACGGGUGAGCAACACUGGGGCAACCUGGCUCGUAGAGGGGGAGCACAUAGAGCAAUUUCUGUAAAUACCGCAUAAGCACACACUGCCGCAUGGCGGAGAGUGAAAAGAGAACCGCGAUGGGAUGGAUCCGCGUCGGAUUAGCCAGUUGGCAGGGUAAGAGCCUACUAGAGCGACGAUCAGUAGCCGAUUAGAGAGGAUGAGCGGCCACAUCGGGGGUGAGACACGGCCGGGAAUCCUACGGGAGGGAGGAGUGGGGGAUAUUGCAAAAUGGGGUGAACGAUGAUGCAGCUAGGCCGCGUGAGUGAAGAAGUAUGGAGGGAUGUAAAGCUCUAUAAGCAGGGAAGGGAAUGACGGUACCGGAAGAAGAAGCCCCGGCUAACUACGUG